UUCCUUCAAAAACAGUGUCUUGCAUGUACUUUCAUAUCACCUUCUUUGCCAAAGUCUAAGCAUGACAGGAGACCAUGGUUUACUGGCAAACAGGAGACCAUGUUUACUUCACCCAUUAUAGUUACAAGUGAUGUUCAACUGGGGCUACAUGCUACUCUCUUUCGUAGCAGCCUAGAAUUAUUCAGUUAUUUAAGUCAUUAAGCCAUUAAACAUUUUUGCCAGGGGUCAGACUGCCUGCUCCAGAUUCCUUACCAGAUGAAGAUUGUUGCUAAGGUAACAGCCAACAUCAGCUCCCUCUGUAUCCGUGGUCCCCCCCUCCCAGCAGCAUACUUGGAAACUUAUUUCUUUCUGACUGAGCUACUCGCAUGUUUGGAGAGAUGAAUGCCCAAUGCUCUUUUCACAGUCUGCAGAGGAGAAUCAGAUGAAUUCUGCACAUCUGUCUGGUCCGUCCCCUAAAGGUUAACUGCUGGAUGCAAUGCAGAAGAGAUACAACCAGAGAAGAGCAGGUCCCUGCUGGGAUCGGAAUCAGAGCUACUGGCGUGAUUAAACUGAGACAGAUUUACUGUUGCCUGCCAGCCUCCAAUGGUCAGCACAGCCCAUGGAGAAGGACCUCACUGGAAUUUCAGAGGUGCUGAAAGCAAUACCCUAAGAGACUUGAAGUUUGAAAGAAGACUUACAAGUAGGGCCGACGAAAU
rnacentral:lncRNA from 1 species